rnacentral:rRNA from 1 species
UACGUAGGCAGCGAGCGUUGUUCGGAGUUACUGGGCGUAAAGGGUGUGUAGGCGGUUGUUUAAGUUUGGUGUGAAAUCUCCCGGCUCAACCGGGAGGGUGCGCGGAAAACUGGCGGGCUAGAGUGCGGGAUGGGAGAGUAGAAUUCCUGGUGUAGCGGUGAAAUGCGUAGAUAUCAGGAGGAAUACCGGUGGUGUAGACGGCUCUCUGGACCGCAACUGACGCUGAAACACGAAAGCGUGGGUAGCAAACAGG